AUUGAACGCUGGCGGCAGGCCUAACACAUGCAAGUCGAGCGGCAGCGGGGGAAAGCUUGCUUUCCCGCCGGCGAGCGGCGGACGGGUGAGUAAUGUCUGGGAAACUGCCUGAUGGAGGGGGAUAACUACUGGAAACGGUAGCUAAUACCGCAUAACGUCUACGGACCAAAGUGGGGGACCUUCGGGCCUCAUGCCAUCAGAUGUGCCCAGAUGGGAUUAGCUAGUAGGUGAGGUAACGGCUCACCUAGGCGACGAGCCCUAGCUGGUCUGAGAGGAUGACCAGCCACACGGGAACUGAGACACGGUCCAGGCUCCUACGGGAGGCAGCAUUGGGGAAUAUGGCACAAUGGGCGCAAGCCUGAUGCAGCCAUGCGGCGUGUAUGAAGAAGGCCUGCGGGUUGUAAAGUACUUUCAGCGGGGAGGAAGGUGUUGUGGUUAAUAACCGCAGCAAUUGACGUUACCCGCAGAAGAAGCACCGGCUAACUCCGUGCCAGCCGCCGCCGUAACAC
rnacentral:rRNA from 1 species